GCCUAUGGCCAUACCAGUCUGAAAGUGUCAGAUCGCUGAAGUAAUGCAGACUUGGGCCUGAUUAGUACUUGUAUGGGAGACCAAGUAUGAACCUCAGGUCCCAUAAGUU